rnacentral:rRNA from 1 species
AAUUUAAGCAUAUUAAUAAGCGGAGGAAAAGAAACCAACAGGGAUAUUCUUAGUAACGGCGAGUGAAGAGAAUAGAGCCCAGCGCUGAAUCGUAUUGCUUGAAAGGGUAAAACGACAUGUAGCGUGAAGCUGGCGGCUGUUGCUGUUGUCGAUGCGUGUAAGUCUUCUUGAGCGGGGCUCAGUCCCAGAGAUGGUGCUAGGCCCGUAUCGCGUAUGACAUGUAUGGCGACGCCCGCUUGCGGAGAGUCAGGUUGCUUGGGAACGCAAUCUAAAGCCGGUGGUACACUCCAUCGAAGGCUAAAUAUGACCACAAGUCCGAUAGCGAACAAGUACCGUGAGGGAAAAUUGAAAAGCACUUUGAAGAGAGAGCGAAAUAGUGCGUGAAACCGCUCAGAGGCAAGCAGAUGGAUUCUCGAAGGUGUGCAUAGGAUUUAUUUCCUAGUUCUCACGCCACCGUUGUUGCAGAUGUGCACCAUGCGCUGACAUUUGGACGCUUGAGAUUGGGACUUGUGCCUGCUUGAGACGCUCGGUGUUGGACGCGUUGAGUUUUUGUGGCAUACUGUAACAAAGCAGGGCAUUUUGUCGCUGUAAAGCGCCGGCUGUGGCCGCUUGCUGGCGCAUAUUGUUGUGGCGAGACGCAAGUUUCGACAUGCGGUAUGCGUUGCAAAUCGGUUAUUAGCACCGGCAAGACAAUUUUAAGACCCGGUGGCGAGUAGAUGAAAUUCCCAUCUAACCCGUCUUGAAACACGGGACCAAGGA